rnacentral:rRNA from 1 species
GACGAACGCUGGCGGCGUGCUUAACACAUGCAAGUCGAACGAUGAAGCGGGUGCUUGCACUCGUGGAUUAGUGGCGAACGGGCGAGUAACACGUGAGUAACCUGUCCUUUUCUUUGGGAUAACAGCUGGAAACGGCUGCUAAUACUGGAUAUUCAGGCUGCAUCGCAUGGUGUGGUUUGGAAAGGUUUUUUCUGGGAUUGGGUGGGCUCGCGGCCUAUCAGCUUGUUGGUGGGGUGAUGGCUUACCAAGGCUUUGACGGGUAGCCGGCCUGAGAGGGUGGUCGGUCGCACUGGGACUGAGAUACGGCCCAGACUCCUACGGGAGGCAGCAGUGGGGAAUAUUGCACAAUGGACGAAAGUUUGAUGCAGCGACGCCGCGUGGAGGGUGUAGGCCUUCGGGUUGUGAACUCCUUUUUCUCGCGAAAAAGGCACAGUUUUGGCUGUGUUGAUGGUAGUGGGGGAAGAAGCGCCGGCUAACUACGUG